rnacentral:lncRNA from 1 species
AUGUUUUAGGGGGUUUUUGGGGGAUAUAUUAGAGUUAUGUUUAUAUAUGUUUGGUCCCUCAUUGGAGUCCACCUGUGUAGGUUCGGACCCGAGGAACCGAGGACCCCAGCAGUGAGUGAGCUGCUUCAGUGUCUGGUCAGAGCUAACCAGAGGUGAGUGGAAACAAGCUUAAUGUUUUAAAUCGAAUAACUGAAUGUUUUGAGCAUGCUUCACGCAUCAUGAUGAUAUGUAAUAGGCUGAUUGCAUUAGUUCACGAAUAUGUUGCAUUGCAUUUUCUUUUGUGGUUGUGGGUGAAUGCUGUAUGAUCCAAUUAGUCCACGAGACUUAAUAUAUGAUAUAACAGGAAGACCAGGACCCCAUGCUACGGCCUGGCACGAGGCUUAAUACAUGAUAUGACAGGAAGACCAGGACCCCAUGCUACGGCCUGGCACGAGGCUUAAUACAUGAUAUGACAGGAAGACCAGGACCCCAUGCUACGGCCUGGCACGAGACUUUAUGUAUGUUAUGACAGGAAGACCAGGACCCCAUGCUACGGCCUGGCACGAGACUAUGUUGGGACUAAUUGGUGACAGGUUCACCCUUGAUGUGAAUUGUUUGUGAUAUGAUGCAUUUCAUGAAAGCAUGAAUUUUAAUAUAAUGUUUUUAGUUUCUGCUCACUGGGCUUUUAGCUCACCCCUCUCCCAUAACCCCAGGUUUGCAGGUACGGGAUUGAUAGAGAAGAAAAGAAGAGAAAAGUCAUAUGUAUGUAAUAGCUAGAGUAUGUGGACAUGACAAAUGAUAAGAAUGAAAUGUAAAGUUUUGAAACAGUUAUGUUUAUGUAACUAUGUUAUUGAGGAUAGAGUUGUGCUUGACCAUAGUAUAUGUUAAUCCCUUGGUAUGUACAUGAUCUUAUUUUAUGAUGUAUAUGUGAACCAACUCAACACAGGAUAUAUAUUGCCCAUUGAGGCUUUGAUGAAAUCCCUUGGAGGGAUUAAUGUUUAUGUAUAUGAUGAAUACAGUGCAUGCACAGGUUGAGUUUGGUAUAUGAAGAAAAAGAAAAGUUUUUAAUUCUUAUGUAUGUUUGUUGAUCAUGUAUGGGAUUAAACAGGUAAACAGGAUGUAUGUAGGCUUGCUACGGGUUCCGGCGGCCUUAAGCCGACCUGAAUCCUAGCGCCGGUAGCGGUCCGGAUUUCCGGGGCGUUACAU